rnacentral:snoRNA from 1 species
UAUCAUAUGAUGAGCCACUCGGAUUCCCCUUCAGGACAUCCUGGAUGAUGCAAAACCGAGUUUCUGAUGAU